CUUUUAAUCCUGCCGGCAUUUUUGUGUUUCUAGAGUUUAGUUUAUGAAAAAGUGUAAAAUUUUGGUUUAUUAUGUGUUAACAUUGUUUGGGAAGUGAUAUUUGAGGAAAGGAUAUAGUGUAAUACAAAAUGGACACGUAGGUGCUAAAAGCAAGUUACCAUCUUAUGCUGCCACUGCGAGCGGCCAUGCUGUCUGGUCGCUGCGCCGCGGCCAAUGUCAAACAGCACCAUCG